rnacentral:rRNA from 1 species
GACGAACGCUGGCGGCGUGCCUAAUACAUGCAAGUUGAGCGCUGAAGGUUGGUACUUGUACCAACUGGAUGAGCAGCGAACGGGUGAGUAACGCGUGGGGAAUCUGCCUUUGAGCGGGGGACAACAUUUGGAAACGAAUGCUAAUACCGCAUAAAAACUUUAAACACAAGUUUUAAGUUUGAAAGAUGCAAUUGCAUCACUCAAAGAUGAUCCCGCGUUGUAUUAGCUAGUUGGUGAGGUAAAGGCUCACCAAGGCGAUGAUACAUAGCCGACCUGAGAGGGUGAUCGGCCACAUUGGGACUGAGACACGGCCCAAACUCCUACGGGAGGCAGCAGUAGGGAAGCUUCGGCAAUGGACGAAAGUCUGACCGAGCAACGCCGCGUGAGUGAAGAAGGUUUUCGGAUCGUAAAACUCUGUUGGUAGAGAAGAACGCUGGUGAGAGUGGAAAGCUCAUCAAGUGACGGUAACUACCCAGAAAGGGACGGCUAACUACGUG